AGGGAAUCUUCGGCAAUGGACGGAAGUCUGACCGAGCAACGCCGCGUGAGUGAAGAAGGUUUUCGGAUCGUAAAGCUCUGUUGUAAGAGAAGAACGAGUGUGAGAGUGGAAAGUUCACACUGUGACGGUAUCUUACCAGAAAGGGACGGCUAACUACGUGCCAGCAGCCGCGGUAAUACGUAGGUCCCGAGCGUUGUCCGGAUUUAUUGGGCGUAAAGCGAGCGCAGGCGGCUAGAUAAGUCUGAAGUUAAAGGCUGUGGCUUAACCAUAGUACGCUUUGGAAACUGUUUAACUUGAGUGCAAGAGGGGAGAGUGGAGUUCCAUGUGUAGCGGUGAAAUGCGUAGAUAUAUGGAGGAACACCGGUGGCGAAAGCGGCUCUCUGGCUUGUAACUGACGCUGAGGCUCGAAAGCGUGGGGAGCAAACAGGAUUAGAUACCCUGGUAGUCCACGCCGUAAACGAUGAGUGCUAGGUGUUAGACCCUUUCCGGGGUUUAGUGCCGCAGCUAACGCAUUAAGCACUCCGCCUGGGGAGUACGACCGCAAGGUUG
rnacentral:rRNA from 1 species